rnacentral:rRNA from 1 species
UACGAAGGGGGCUAGCGUUGCUCGGAAUCACUGGGCGUAAAGAGUGCGUAGGCGGGUCUUUUAAGUCAGGGGUGAAAUCCUGGAGCUCAACUCCAGAACUGCCUUUGAUACUGAGGAUCUUGAGUUCGAGAGAGGUGAGUGGAACUGCGAGUGUAGAGGUGAAAUUCGUAGAUAUUCGCAAGAACACCAGUGGCGAAGGCGGCUCACUGGCUCGAUACUGACGCUGAGGUGCGAAAGCGUGGGGGAGCAAACAGG